rnacentral:rRNA from 1 species
CCUACGGGUGGCAGCAGUGGGGAAUAUUGGACAAUGGGGGGAACCCUGAUCCAGCGACGCCGCGUGAGUGAAGAAGUAUUUCGGUAUGUAAAGCUCUAUCAGCAGGGAAGAAAGGAAUGACGGGACCGGACUAAGAAGCCCCGGCUAACUACGUGCCAGCAGCCGCGGUAAUACGGAGGGGGCAAGCGUUAUCCGGAUUUACUGGGUGUAAAGGGAGCUUCGACGGUUCCGCAAGGCUGGAGGGAAAGGCCGGGGCCCACCCCCCGGACUGCUUUGGAAACUGGAUAACUGGAGGGCAGGGGAGGUAAGUGGAAUUCCUAGUGUAGCGGUGAAAUGCGUAGAUAUUAGGAGGCACACCAGUGGCGAAGGCGGCUUACUGGACUGUACCUGACGUUGAGGCUCGAAAGCGUGGGGAGCAAACAGGAUUAGAUACCCCAGUAGUC